AUUGAACGCUGGCGGCAGGCCUAACACAUGCAAGUCGAACGGUAACAGGAAGCAGCUUGCUGCUUUGCUGACGAGUGGCGGACGGGUGGGUAAUGUCUGGGAAACUGCCCGAUGGAGGGGGAUAACUACUGGAAACGGUAGCUAAUACCGCAUAACGUCGCAAGACCAAAGAGGGGGACCUUAGGGCCUCUUGCCAUCGGAUGUGCCCAGAUGGGAUUAGCUAGUAGGUGGGGUAACGGCUCACCUAGGCGACGAUCCCUAGCUGGUCUGAGAGGAUGACCAGCCACACUGGAACUGAGACACGGUCCAGACUCCUACGGGAGGCAGCAGUGGGGAAUAUUGCACAAUGGGCGCAAGCCUGAUGCAGCCAUGCCGCGUGUAUGAAGAAGGCCUUCGGGUUGUAAAGUACUUUCAGCGGGGAGGAAGGGAGUAAAGUUAAUACCUUUGCUCAUUGACGUUACCCGCAGAAGAAGCACCGGCUAACUCCG
rnacentral:rRNA from 1 species